AAGAAACAAGCACACCCAUGGAACAGAAGACGGAUCUUCCCCUUACUACGUUUAUGUGCACAAGCUUUCCAGCCGAGGAGCUCAAGGAUUCUGUCCUCCCCAUUUUACCCUCUCAACAACCCCACAAGAGCCUCCUGUGAAACGGGAGAUUCCAGUCCCAGGACCUCCUUUUCCAGCAGAUGUACAUGGCAAUGGCAGAAAGUGUAGAAGGCUGUGCAGAGGUUGGGAGAACCAUGGCUGUUGCUGAACAGGAACAACUUCAGCCAGCAUUCCACUCAUCAUAGUCUUAGUUAAGAGGGAAGCCAGCGCACCAUCUGCUCAUG